rnacentral:rRNA from 1 species
AUUGAACGCUGGCGGCAGGCUUAACACAUGCAAGUCGAGCGGAGAUGAGGUGCUUGCACCUUAUCUUAGCGGCGGACGGGUGAGUAAUGCUUAGGAAUCUGCCUAUUAGUGGGGGACAACAUUCCGAAAGGAAUGCUAAUACCGCAUACGCCCUACGGGGGAAAGCAGGGGAUCUUCGGACCUUGCGCUAAUAGAUGAGCCUAAGUCGGAUUAGCUAGUUGGUGGGGUAAAGGCCUACCAAGGCGACGAUCUGUAGCGGGUCUGAGAGGAUGAUCCGCCACACUGGGACUGCGACACGGCCCAGACUCCUACGGGCGGCAGCAUUGGGGAAUAUUGGACAAUGGGCGGAAGCCUGAUCCAGCCAUGCCGCGUGUGUGAAGAAGGCCUUUUGGUUGUAAAGCACUUUAAGCGAGGAGGAGGCUACCUGGAUUAAUACUCUAGGAUAGUGGACGUUACUCGCAGAAUAAGCACCGGCUAACUCUGUGCCAGCCGCCGCGGUAAAAC